CAGUAGCCACGGUAAUACAGAGGGUGCAAGCGUUAAUCGGAAUUACUGGGCGUAAAGCGCGCGUAGGUGGUUUGUUAAGUUGGAUGUGAAAGCCCCGGGCUCAACCUGGGAACUGCAUCCAAAACUGGCAAGCUAGAGUACGGUAGAGGGUGGUGGAAUUUCCUGUGUAGCGGUGAAAUGCGUAGAUAUAGGAAGGAACACCAGUGGCGAAGGCGACCACCUGGACUGAUACUGACACUGAGGUGCGAAAGCGUGGGGAGCAAACAGGAUUAGAUACCCCCGUAGUCCCUGUCUCUUAUAU
rnacentral:rRNA from 1 species